GUUGGUAAUUAUUAAUCCCGUCAUUGUGCAUUGGUACGUUUUUUGUAUGCUUGUCUUUCAUUUUUGUUGAUUUGCUUUGUCAAGAUGCAUUUUUUGUUUUUCUUUUUUGACAUAACUAGUUUGUUAUUAUAGUUAUAAAACAAUAUAACACAAUGUUGACUGAUGUACCCCUUAUUUAACAUUUUUGGCUAUUAUGCUGUGUGUUUUGUUCAAACAUUGUUGGUAAUACAGCAGAAAAUUAUUUAUUUUACUGUCAUACAAGUGAGAGGUUUAGCUAGCUACAAGACCAGGUUCAAUCAAGCAUUUUCUACACCAGAAAAUGCCUGUAUCAAGUCAGGAAUAUGACAGUCGUUAUCCACUCGUUUUAUGUGUUUGAGCUUUUG
rnacentral:lncRNA from 1 species